CGUAUCUGCUCCGCUCACUUGCGGGACGCGUCGAAAAGCUCGGCUAAGUCCACGCCCAGAGCCCGUGCCAGCCGCGCGAGCGAAUCGAGCGUGGGAUUUGCGUCGCUGACUUCGACUUUGCUUACGAGAGCCUGCCUUGUCUUGGCCUCGGCAGCGAGUUCCUCCUGGGAAUAGCCGCGCUCAAGCCGAAGCCGUCUGACGUUACGUGCCAGAACG
rnacentral:misc_RNA from 1 species